UAAAGAAAAAAGGAAACACAACCACACACAGAGCACACGGGCUCGCCUCCUCUCCCUCUCGCCUAUGAAGUCAUCGCCGCCGCCGCCGCCCAUGCCGGCUGCUUCCGGCGCCUCCGGCGCAGCGCGGCACGCCCCAAGCUGCCGACGGUCCGCGCCUCCCUCCCCUCCACCCAGACUCUCUGCUCCCGGCCUCUACAGCCCGCUCGCAACCACACACCCAUGGCUAGGGUUUCGGGCAUGGCUUCGCCGGCGUGUCUCCGGUGGUCCCAGUUGGGGCACGCCAUGGGAGUUCCCCAUCCAUCACGGUCGCCGUUGUCAAGGGAUUCUUCAAGGAGAUGUCAAGGACGCCAUGGACAUGCAGCUCCUCAAGAUCAAUUAAGGAAUCAAUCUCAUGAUGGUUGAUGCUUGAUGCAGCGCAGGAUUGGGCCUCGCAUUAUUUUUUCCAGAAUUGGGUGUGGGUACUCUCUAAACUGGAUUGAGUGAGCUAAAUCUGUGCAUCAAAAUUGUAGUCUGUAGCUUUAUGUGUUACGUCUUAAGAUUGAACUUGAAGAUUGCUUUUGGGAGUAGUUUUAGUUGGUAGAUGUUUCAGGCUCCAAAUACGCACACAUUAUGUGCUUAAUGUGUGGCAUAAACAUGAUCAGUUUUAUGCUUAGAAACCAAACCACUGUCCACCCAUUUUAUUUCUUCAUGAGUAUUUUGUGUUGAAAUCAGAUCACCGUUCACCUGUUCUCGUACUGUUGUCUUUAACUUAUUUUGCCGAUUCUCAAUAAAAUGCUCAGUUCAGGAUGUGAUUUUCAGUUUUAGGCAUUUGAUACUUUUGGCACUGAGCAAAAAAAAUUCCUCUGAGCGUGUACCUUCAAAUGCAAAGUUCUGACUAUGAUUUCGCAUGCGAUCACACCGCCGUCGGUCGCUCUUCCUACCGAGUGCCA